UAUAUGUUUUAUUCAUUUUUGUCAGGUAAAAGCAGAGGGAAGAAGUGCUUUAGUCUGCGACAGCAUGCAGCUUUAGGGGUCCUGUCUGUCCGUACUGAGAGCCUGAGGUAGAAGUUGCCCUUAACCACAGAUCUAGGAUCAGAUUCCUCUCUAUCAAACAAAACUGUAAGUCUCGGAAAUCCCAGACCUGAGGCAACACUGUUAAUGUGGGAGGCAACUCGUCUGCCUAGAGACAAGUCAAAACUUUAACCAUUCGGGAGGAAGACCAAACUGACUUCAGAUCAUUCUCUAGUCAACUUCAACCCCAUCCUACUCAGUUGGACUGGGUUAGCAGUAUGAUUUACUUUCCCUGAAAUCCUAGUUGGGAGGAUUCCCCGAUUUCCUGAUUAUACCUCAUAUUUCCAACCAGGAUUUCUGGAAAACACAGGAAAAGUUAUUGGAAUUGUGCAACCCUAACACCAACCCUCUUAUAAUCCGGUCUAUAUAGCGCUAUCAUAACAAUAACAGGUCUUAUAGACACACAUGACUAGUUAUGACUACGACCACUGACUUAAUUGCCUACUGUCAUGACACAAACCCAGAUGAGGUCAGCUACUGACUAGAGUAACUGUAGAUAUUGGAGGUCAGCUACUUGGCUAGAGUUACUGUAGAUAUUGGAGGUCAGCUACUUGGCUAGAGUUACUGUAGAUAUUGGAGGUCAGCUACUUGGCUAGAGUUACUGUAGAUAUUGGAGGUCAUCUACUUGGCUAGAGUUACUGUAGAUAUUGGAGGUCAGCUACUUGGCUAGAGUUACUGUAGAUAUUGGAGGUCAGCUACUUGGCUAGAGUUACCGUAGAUAUGAGGUCAGCUACUCGGCUAGAGUUACUAUGGAUAUUGUAGCAACCAACGCUUAGCAGCCUCUUCAACGUUCUACCAUCUCUUGGCGUAACGGUGUUGGGUUGACAGUCGUUGGACCUGUGCUUGAAUCCCGGGUUGGGGCUAACCCCUGAAAUCCCUACAAUUGGCUAUACCAAGCUAACGAGCUGACCUAAACAGUGGUAUGUGCUAUAAGGGGGGUAAGUUAGAUAACAUAAGCUGUAUGUUUACUGGUUCCUACAUGAGCAGGUCUACCUCACCGCUCGUCUCUACCGUGGCAUAGCUUUGUCAUUAGGAGGUGAAAUGGUGGUGGCCCCAACUAGGGUGGGUCGACCCGCGGGAAUGCGGCUUGGUGCAUUGCAUGACCAUCUAGGUAGGGCACAGGUGUCAAACUGAUUCCACGGAGGGCCAAGUGGCUGCGUUUUUAACCGCUCCUACCUUGUACUUGAUUGAGGAAUUAACGUCACUGAUUAGUAAGGAACCCCCCUCACCUGGUUGUCUCAGUAAGGAACUCUACUCACCUGGUUGUCCAGGUCUCAGUAAGGAACUCCCCUCACCUGUUUGUCUAGGUCUUUAGUAAGGAGCUCCCCUCACCUGGUUGUCUAGGUCUUAGUAAUGAACUCCCCUCACCUGGUUGUCUAGGUCUUUAGUAAGGAGCUCCCCUCACCUG
ensembl:lncRNA